rnacentral:lncRNA from 1 species
UGCCUCCGAGCCCGAUCGGCCUCCCGUUCGUUCCCGUGGCUUCUGGAGUCUUCUAGAUGGUAGAAAAUUGCGCGGCACGUUAAUAUCUCCAUGUAAACCCGACGUGUGGGCCUUUCUUUCAUAUUUCCUGAUAACCCCCUGCAGAAAUAGACAAACACCAAAACUCGUGGAAUUCUGUCAGAUAAAACCCUAAGUCUAGGUGUUGGUUGCAUUUGGAUCCUUUUCUAUGAUUAGUUGAUGGUUAAAUGUGAGCAUUAAGGACCGUCAACA